CGAUUGUAUUUAAUUGAGGACAAACCUCUAGUAGAAGCUCCACCUACUGGUAUCACACCCACUUUAUUUUAUUUGACCAAGGUGAGGGGCAUACCUGAUCCGUAUAAUGAUCCUAGAUACACUGUUGGGAUAAAAAAUAUUCUAUUCAUGGCAACUUGAUUGGUUCAGCUCAGUUUAACUACAUGUUUGACAUCAAAUGGUUGCUAGAUCAGUAUCCUGAAGACAAGAGGUUUUCUAUUACAAUGAAUGCAUUACUGUCAGUG